rnacentral:rRNA from 1 species
UACGUAGGUGGCAAGCGUUAUCCGGAAUUACUGGGCGUAAAGCGCACGCAGGCGGUCUUGUAAGUUUGACGUGAAAGCUCCCGGCUUAACUGGGAGAGGUCGUUGAAGACUGCAAGACUUGAGGAAAUGAGAGGGGUGUAGAAUUCCCGGUGUAGUGGUGGAAUGCGUAGAUAUCGGGGGGAAUACCAGCGGCGAAAGCGGCACCCUAGCAUUUUUCUGACGCUCAUGUGCGAAAGCGUGGGGAGCAAACAGG